GAUGAACGCUGGCGGCGUGCCUAAUACAUGCAAGUCGAGCGAACGGACGAGAAGCUUGCUUCUCUGAUGUUAGCGGCGGACGGGUGAGUAACACGUGGAUAACCUACCUAUAAGACUGGGAUAACUUCGGGAAACCGGAGCUAAUACCGGAUAAUAUUUUGAACCGCAUGGUUCAAAAGUGAAAGACGGUCUUGCUGUCACUUAUAGAUGGAUCCGCGCUGCAUUAGCUAGUUGGUAAGGUAACGGCUUACCAAGGCAACGAUGCAUAGCCGACCUGAGAGGGUGAUCGGCCACACUGGAACUGAGACACGGUCCAGACUCCUACGGGAGGCAGCAGUAGGGAAUCUUCCGCAAUGGGCGAAAGCCUGACGGAGCGACGCCGCGUGAGUGAUGAAGGUCUUCGGAUCGUAAAACUCUGUUAUUAGGGAAGAACAUAUGUGUAAGUAACUGUGCACAUCUUGACGGUACCUAAUCAGAAAGCCACGGCUAACUACGUGCCAGCAGCCGCGGUAAUACGUAGGUGGCAAGCGUUAUCCGGAAUUAUUGGGCGUAAAGCGCGCGUAGGCGGUUUUUUAAGUCUGAUGUGAAAGCCCACGGCUCAACCGUGGAGGGUCAUUGGAAACUGGAAAACUUGAGUGCAGAAGAGGAAAGUGGAAUUCCAUGUGUAGCGGUGAAAUGCGCAGAGAUAUGGAGGAACACCAGUGGCGAAGGCGACUUUCUGGUCUGUAACUGACGCUGAUGUGCGAAAGCGUGGGGAUCAAACAGGAUUAGAUACCCUGGUAGUCCACGCCGUAAACGAUGAGUGCUAAGUGUUAGGGGGUUUCCGCCCCUUAGUGCUGCAGCUAACGCAUUAAGCACUCCGCCUGGGGAGUACGACCGCAAGGUUGAAACUCAAAGGAAUUGACGGGGACCCGCACAAGCGGUGGAGCAUGUGGUUUAAUUCGAAGCAACGCGAAGAACCUUACCAAAUCUUGACAUCCUUUGACAACUCUAGAGAUAGAGCCUUCCCCUUCGGGGGACAAAGUGACAGGUGGUGCAUGGUUGUCGUCAGCUCGUGUCGUGAGAUGUUGGGUUAAGUCCCGCAACGAGCGCAACCCUUAAGCUUAGUUGCCAUCAUUAAGUUGGGCACUCUAAGUUGACUGCCGGUGACAAACCGGAGGAAGGUGGGGAUGACGUCAAAUCAUCAUGCCCCUUAUGAUUUGGGCUACACACGUGCUACAAUGGACAAUACAAAGGGCAGCGAAACCGCGAGGUCAAGCAAAUCCCAUAAAGUUGUUCUCAGUUCGGAUUGUAGUCUGCAACUCGACUACAUGAAGCUGGAAUCGCUAGUAAUCGUAGAUCAGCAUGCUACGGUGAAUACGUUCCCGGGUCU
rnacentral:rRNA from 1 species